GAAUACAAUUCAUCAUGUUAAUCUACGAAUUUAAAAUAUCGAACAAAGUUAGAACAUUACAAGUCUCGAGACCGCGAGUAGCGAGUUUGUCUUCACAUUACAAGUCGAUAUCGAUCAUCUAAACUACCAUCACAUAGAAGAGAGCUGCGGUCGUCACGAGAAAGACAGGCAAAAUUAUCUAAAGUACAACAUCAUCGACACCAAGCAUGUUACUGAAGCCGUGCCUGGAGAAUCACAUUCGUGUCCUUUGCCUGCUACCCCUGUCCUCGUCUUCUUCCACCUGUUGCGGAAAGGUGAGGAACAAAUUAUGCUCCGGCAGGAAUUUGUGCUUAGUUCAAAUUAGCGUACGGCACGAUGAAAUCAGUUUGAAAGAAAAACUAACAUUGUGAAACAAAUGCAUAUUUUGGGAGAACCUAUACAAGAAAGAAAUCAUCCAAAGAGCUUUCAUAAAGAGAAAAGCAUAAUUACUGAUCCCCCCUAGGCUACUACUACUUUAUGUGUUGGACAACAAAUCGUACAUGACAACUGACAAGACAGUAAGAUGUGUUCGACUUUAUCAAGGUUUAUAGGGGACAUGGUGUAUGAUGACAUCAAGAACAUUCAUACUCAUGUCCAAAAAAUCAUACUGAGAACAAUCGAUUUACCUCGGUGAUAACCUUCCUAGAUUUCCGCCCAAUCUUUGAACUUGAAUCAGAGUCUGAUCGCUUGGGUUUCUUUGUUACUGGCUCUUCCAUAUCAUCUUCAUCUCCAUCAUCUGCAAUCAUUUUGUAUUUUGUAUGGAGGUCACAUUUGCAGUUGGCACGACUAUGCCAAAUAACCAUUUUGUCCAAAUAAAUAUUUCUACAUCGCAUACAUAAUUAAACAAGUCAGAAUGGAAUUUCAAGGCCCAUAAUUCAGAAAAUUUAAAGUUUCUUUACAUUAUCUAGUGAACACAGAAAAAUGAGAAGUAUCUUCGCAAAUCAGAGCACUCUAUAACAUGCAAAAUUAAAAUCAGUAGAAACAAGGGAAAUGUUUACCAUCUUCAUCACCAAAGCCAUCAAAAUCUUCCAUAUCAUCCAUGUCACCCAUCUCGAA
rnacentral:lncRNA from 1 species